CUACGUGCCAGCAGCCGCGGUAAUACGGAAGGUUCGGGCGUUAUCCGGAUUUAUUGGGUUUAAAGGGAGCGUAGGCCGUGGAUUAAGCGUGUUGUGAAAUGUAGAUGCUCAACAUCUGACUUGCAGCGCGAACUGGUUUACUUGAGUGUGCGCAACGUAGGCGGAAUUCGUCGUGUAGCGGUGAAAUGCUUAGAUAUGACGAAGAACUCCGAUUGCGAAGGCAGCUUACGGGAGCACAACUGACGCUGAAGCUCGAAGGUGCGGGUAUCAAACAGGAUUAGAUACCCUGGUAGUCCGCACAGUAAACGAUGGAUGCCCGCUGUUGGUCCAUUAGGGUCAGCGGCCAAGCGAAAGCAUUAAGCAUCCCACCUGGGGAGUACGCCGGCAACGGUGAAACUCAAAGGAAUUGACGGGGGCCCGCACAAGCGGAGGAACAUGUGGUUUAAUUCGAUGAUACGCGAGGAACCUUACCCGGGCU
rnacentral:rRNA from 1 species